UACGUAGGGUGCGAGCGUUGUCCGGAAUUACUGGGCGUAAAGAGCUCGUAGGUGGUUUGUCGCGUUGUUCGUGAAAACCGGGGGCUUAACCCCGAGCCUGCAGUGGAUACGGGCAGACUAGAGGUAGGUAGGGGAGAAUGGAAUUCCCGGUGUAGCGGUGAAAUGCGCAGAUAUCGGGAGGAACACCGGUGGCGAAGGCGGUUCUCUGGGCCUUACCUGACGCUGAGGAGCGAAAGCGUGGGGAGCGAACAGG
rnacentral:rRNA from 1 species